rnacentral:rRNA from 1 species
GACGAACGCUGGCGGCGUGCCUAAUACAUGCAAGUCGAACGCUUUUUCUUUCACCGGAGCUUGCUCCACCGAAAGAAAAAGAGUGGCGAACGGGUGAGUAACACGUGGGUAACCUGCCCAUCAGAAGGGAAUAACACUUGGAAACAGGUGCUAAUACCGUAUAACACUAUUUUCCGCAUGGAAGAAAGUUGAAAGGCGCUUUUGCGUCACUGAUGGAUGGACCCGCGGUGCAUUAGCUAGUUGGUGAGGUAACGGCACACCAAGGCAACGAUGCAUAGCCGACCUGAGAGGGUGAUCGGCCACACUGGGACUGAGACACGGCCCAGACUCCUACGGGAGGCAGCAGUAGGGAAUCUUCCGCAAUGGACGAAAGUCUGACGGAGCAACGCCGCGUGAGUGAAGAAGGUUUUCGGAUCGUAAAACUCUGUUGUUAGAGAAGAACAAGGAUGAGAGUAACUGCUCGUCCCUUGACGGUAUCUAACCAGAAAGCCAUGGCUAACUACGUGCCAGCCGCCGCCGUAA